rnacentral:lncRNA from 13 species
GCUGAACUAUCAGUCCUCUGUAUCUAAUUGUCAAUAUACGAAAGUACAGAGGACAGAGGACCAUCUCAAACUACACCAUGGAGAUGCAGUCUGCAAAAUCCAGAGAGAGGAAGAUGCUACAGGAUAUACAGCCUGAUUUCUUCAACAAGUCAGAAGUCUGAAAUGGGUUUCACUGGGUUAAAACGUAGAUAUCAGCGAGCCUGUGCUCUUUGCUGGGGCUCAGAGGUAGAAGCUGAUUUCCUGCCUUUUCCAGCUUCUGUUGCUGCCUGUUUUCUUUGGCUCGUGGCCCCCUGAUUUCAAAGCCGACAAUGGCCAACUGAAUCUUCUUCACAUUGCAUCACUCUGACACUAACUCUGUUACGUUUCUCUCCCAUGUUUAUGGCUUUUGCAAUUAAACUGAGCCCACGAGAUAAUACAGGAUAAUCUUCCUAUUUUAAAAUCAGCUUAUUAGCAGACUUAAUUUCAUUAUACCUCAAUUCCUCUUUGCCAUAUAACCUAACAUGUUCACAAGUUACAGGAAUAAAGAUGUGGACACAGAGAUCUUUGUGAGAGGU